rnacentral:lncRNA from 1 species
GGUAGAGUCAGAGCAAAGACGGAAUGCAAUCAAUGCAUCAUCUCAUUUUUUAGCAUUCUUUUGCCGAGCUCGUGGCACUGAUCCUUCUCCCCAGCCUCACGCUCUAUUUUCUCAAUAAGAAGAGAGCUAGCGUGCGUGGAAAUGCAGAAGAUGUUGAUACCGGUAGUCUGGUGCAUCUGGUUCGUCGACUGCAUUGGCAGAAACUAAUUUCUGUGGAUCUAGUCCGUCUUCGACAAAAACUAAUAAUUAUGCGAAGAUAGCUACGCUUUCUUAUUUAAGAGUAACAUAUAAUUGUUAAAUAAGAAUAAUAUGCUUUUGGGUGUUAAGUAAAACCUAAUUUAUAUUUUUAUUAACAUAGCUACCCCUCAUUAUUUAAGAGGAACUGCAUGCAUUUAUGUUUUAAGUAUUGUGUAAAAUUAUAUUUAAUCUGAAAUGAGCUAAGGCUGAACAUUUCAACUCCAUUCAAUAAUAUAAAUAUUUGAAUUAACACAUACAACAGCUUAUAGGUGUUCAAGGAAGAUUGCAAUCGCUUAAACAAAACCAAGAAAAACAUUGGCCAUAAAAAAUUUGAGUCAAUUUGGGUUUGGGUUGAUCGAAAAAUUGUGAAAUCAAUAAAUUUGAUAAAAUGAUUAAUUGGUAACCUCAUAAUCAACUAGGAGAAGAGUGGUGGGUCCAGCCACUCAUUCGACGUAAGAAAUGACAAAAAGCAAGAACUGGCGGGACCCGGCCAUCAAUAGAGGAGAAAGAAAAUUAUUCCAAGCUAUCUAAUUACAAAUCUGCCCAUGGAUUCUAUAAACCGAUGAAAGCUCCUCGACUUUUGCUUCCCUCUUUCUGUACAGUCCUAAUUACCUAAAGACCCACAAAUUUUAGGUUUAAUUUUCAUUUUAUCCCGAACUUUUUAUUGCCUCAAAGGACCCUCAACUUUAAACCCAAUGCUACACCAGCUAGGGGUGAUCGGUUCCCAGUUCGGUCCGGUUCCCACUUUUCUGGACCGUGGACCGGACCGGCUGGUCUUGGAACCGAGAACCGGACCGACCAACCGGUCCAGUCCGGUCCGGUCGGUUCCAAUGAACCAUCACUUGAUUUAUUUCAUAAGACUCAGAGGAUUGCCUCCGAAUCAAUGAAUCAAUUGGCAAUUAAAAUUUUCACAACUUGUGGAGAAAGAGAAAAUGUACCAAUUUUGACGAUGGAAGGGCAUUUGAGUGUUGAGCAAGGCCGAAGGUAAGGUUGUGAGAGGGGAAGGUGUCGACAUUAAGGCUUAAGCAACUUGAUCGAAGCUAGGCAUGAGGCGAGGCUGCGACUUACUGCUACAUGCUUCGCAUGACCUAUCAGCAGACCCAUUUAGAGACUAAACAACCAAGCAAACUCCAAUGAGACCGCCACACCUAUAUCAAGUGAGAUCAUACUGAAACAAACGCUACAAAAAGACAGAUCUAAAAUCGACGAAAGUGAAGUCAAGAAACGCACCUAUGUAGAGGCAAACGUCACUCCAGAGAGCAGGAAUGCACAGAUCUCGGGCAAAGCAUAAGAGGAAGAGAGCCAAGCGUAAAUGCGCAAAUCUCAGGCGAAGCAAAGGAGAAAGAGAGCCAAGCGUCAGAGCGAGCGAGGCGUCAAGGCGAGGCACUCGCCAAGCAUUAGAGCGAGCGAGGCGUCGGG